GACGCCGCGGCAGCCAUUGCUCAUAUUCUCAUAUCAAAUAUCGAUUGUCGAUUUGAUUUUUCGCUUGCGAAUUUCCAAAUUAUUUGAGUUGUAUUAGCAAUAUUAUGUGUGUUUAAGUGAUCACUAAUAUCCUAUAUAUUGCGCGAAUUACCCAGAGACCAACAUGGGAACAAGGCCUAUAUUUCGCUCAAGAGAAAAUGUUGUAUUGAUAGAUCUAUGGAGGAAAUAACAAAGAUGAGUCCAGAAUUUAGCCAAAAUGCAUAAUUUUCCAAAAAUACUGAAAAACCAAAAAUAUGACAAGAAUCUUUGAAAAUAUAACACAAUGCCUUUUGUAAUUAUGUUGUUUUGUGAUGAUAGUAAAAUUUGGUUGAUAUAAAACUAUUCCUGCUCUAUGAAUGACUCUGUGAUAACGUUACCCAGGAUUUAACUAAUUCAGGUACAGUUAAAGUGGAAUGAACUGAUAUUUUUAUAGAAACAGAACAAAACUACUAAAGGGAAACGAGGUGAAGAGCUGUAUGACAGAUGAAUCCGUCACUUGUCUUGUGGAAAACAUGCUUUCUUAUGGUUAAGAAGUGGUAUAUCAUCUUCAUGUUCUUUCAUAAUUGAAGCACCAUCAUUGUGUAUCAUGUAGAAAAACUGCCGACAUUCAUAG